rnacentral:rRNA from 1 species
GGCUGUCGUCAGCUCGUGUCGUGAGAUGUCGGGUUAAGUCCUCUAACGAGCGAAACCCUUGCCGUUAGUUACCAGCGGGUCAUGCCGGGAACUCUAACGGGACUGCCGGUGUUAAACCGGAGGAAGUGGGAUGACGUCAAGUCAUCAUGGCCUUAUGCCCAAGGGCAUCACACGUGCUACAAUGGCCGGUACAAAGCGACGCAAGACCGCGAGGUGGAGCCAAUCGCAAAAACCGGCCCCAGUUCGGAUUGCAGGCUGGCAACUCGCCUGCAUGAAGUUGGAAUCGCUAGUAAUCGUGAAUCAGCUAUGUCACGGUGAAUGUGUUCCUGAGCCUU